UCCAGCUCCCAAUAGCGUAUAUUAAAGUUGUUGCAGUUAAAAAGCUCGUAGUUGGAUUUCGGAAGGUCCUUAGCAAUCCGCCCCUUCGGGGAGCGGGUUGCUGGCCUCCUAUGUUCCUAACGGUCCUCAUCCGCGAGGGUGGGGAAUCAACCGCUAGGAUCGUUUACUUUGAGGAAAUUAGAGUGUUCAAAGCAGGCGUAACUCGCCUCCGAAUACGUUAGCAUGGGAUAAUGGAAUACGACUUCGGUCUUGUUUCGUUGGUUUCGCUUGGCUGAAGUAAUGAUUGAUAGGGACAGUUGGGGGCAUUAGUAUUUAGUUGUCAGAGGUGAAAUUCUAGGAUUUACUAAAGACUGACCAAUGCGAAAGCAUUUGCCAAGGAUGUUUUCAUUAAUCAAGAACGAAAGUAGGGGGAUCGAAGACGAUCAGAUACCGUCGUAGUCUCUACCGUAAACUAUGCCGACCAGGGAUCCGGAGAGUUUGCAUGGAUGACUCCCCGGGCACCUUGUGAGAAAUCAUAAGUGUUUGGGUUUUGGGGGGAGUAUGGUCGCAAGGCUGAAACUAAAGGAAUGACGGAAGGCCCCCCCRGUC
rnacentral:rRNA from 1 species